rnacentral:misc_RNA from 1 species
UACGUGUGGACCAAGCGUUGUUCGGAAUCACUGGGCUUAAAGGGAGCGUAGGCGGCCAAGUAAGUCAGGGGUGAAAGCCGGCGGCCCAACCGUCGAAUUGCCUCUGAUACUGCUUGGCUUGAGUGUGCGAGGGGGAAGCGGAACGUGUGGUGUAGCGGUGAAAUGCGUAGAUAUCACACGGAAGGCCGGAGCCGAAGGGGGCUUCCUGGUGCACAACUGACGCUGAGGCUCGAAAGCGUGGGGAGCAAACAGG